GUAAACGAUCGCACGUGCUUUGGUCUUCCGAGAAGAGUCUACAGAAAACGGCGGAUUAAUUAACAGUGAUUGUUUAUCGGUAGACCCCAGCCAAGGUUCAGUGAUUGACAUGACAGCCCUACGAAAUGUGCAGCCAAACAGGGCAUGCUGGAUGCAUCCACAAAGCAGUGACCAAAUAAAGAUGAUAAAAAAUGCUUUAAAUGAAAAGGAAUCACGACAACAAUUUUUGGCACAAGUAGGAGCAACAAUUCUGAACAGAUCAGAUUUUUUUUUUACCUUGGGACAUCCAAAUGAUGUUGAAGGGACU